UACAGGAGAGACGGUCAUUCUUAUAUCGGGACAACGAGAUUAUAGAAGAAAAUGAAUCCCUCCACUCGURAAGCAUUCUGCAUCCGAGAGCACAAGCGACUUCCCAUGUGCCAAAGUAGCCAAAAAAGCAUACCAGGUACACGAUAGCCGCUGUAUGGUUCAUCYAAUGCCACCUUUGAUGGGGAAAAGAUGAAUAGCAUUACGCAACAAAAUUGGAUUCCGCUAAGUGGGUAUGCAACACAGAAACCCAUCCUUGCCCGACAUAGCAACAUGCCUUCGAGAC
rnacentral:misc_RNA from 1 species